CAGGGAGGGCCUAAUGAUGAUAUCACUGAGAACUGCCAUGGCCUACCUGCUGAACAGCUUUCCUUACAUUGACCAUAUUUGAGGGUGUCCUUUCCUGGAACCACUUGAAGCAGGGAAGUCCAGAUGCUUCUGACACGCUCCGAGCUCCGAGCUCCUGAUCCCAUGUGUGGAAGGCUCAGAUCAAUUCUAUCUCUUCAAGACAGGAGGGUAGCAUUAUUGUCCUCUGCAAGACUCAACGGAGCAGCCGACUGACACAGGUGCACAGACAUACGGCCAAAUAUCGAAUGGAGCUCAGUGAGUCUCACUGAAGGGCUGAGGGAAGGGCAGACAGAGACAGAGGAGCACAAUGAUCUUCAGGUGGGGUCACUAAACCAGUCGCUUGUCUGUGGAUCCUGUUCUCCUACCCGGGCUGCGUUUUCAGGACCUGGUGGGAGACGAUGAAUCUAGUUGAGUAGAGACUUGAUGUGCCAGGGGAGAGGGUGAACCCAGAGGGGUCCUCCACUCUCUCAGAUAAGAA